CAGUCGCCACGGUAAUACGUAGGGUGCGAGCGUUAAUCGGAAUUACUGGGCGUAAAGCGUGCGCAGGCGGUUCGUUAAGACAGAUGUGAAAUCCCCGGGCUUAACCUGGGAACUGCAUUUGUGACUGGCGAGCUAGAGUAUGGGAGAGGGUGGUAGAAUUCCACGUGUAGCAGUGAAAUGCGUAGAGAUGUGGAGGAAUACCGAUGGCGAAGGCAGCCACCUGGGCCAAUACUGACGCUCAUGUACGAAAGCGUGGGGAGCAAACAGGAUUAGAUACCCCUGUAGUCCCUGUCUCUUAUAC
rnacentral:rRNA from 1 species